rnacentral:rRNA from 1 species
AGGGUUUGAUUAUGGCUCAGGAUGAACGCUGGCGGCGUGCUUAACACAUGCAAGUCGAACGAAGCAUUUACGACAGAUUUCUUCGGAUUGAAGUUGUUUAUGACUGAGUGGCGGACGGGUGAGUAACGCGUGGGUAACCUGCCUCAUACAGGGGGAUAGCAGCUGGAAACGGCUGGUAAUACCGCAUAAGCGCACGGUAUCGCAUGAUACAGUGUGAAAAACUCCGGUGGUAUGAGAUGGACCCGCGUCUGAUUAGCUGGUUGGUGAGGUAACGGCCCACCAAGGCGACGAUCAGUAGCCGACCUGAGAGGGUGACCGGCCACAUUGGGACUGAGACACGGCCCAG